rnacentral:rRNA from 1 species
GACGAGGGGGUCCUAGCGUUGUUCGGAAUCACUGGGCGUAAAGCGUAUGUAGGCGGGCUUUUAAGUCAGGUGUGAAAUCCCAUGGCUCAACCAUGGAAUUGCAUUUGAAACUGGAAGUCUUUGAAUGUGGGAGAGAUUGGUAGAAUACCUAGUGUAGUGGUGAAAUACGUAGAUAUUAGGUGGAAUACCGGUGGCGAAGG